UAUAUGAAUAUACUUUUCCGCGUAAAAUAUAAUAAAAAUUAAGAUAUUUACAUGAUUGAUCUUCCGUGGUGUCGGCUUCCCAUAUCUUGUUAUCGAACCACAUAUGUGCUACUGUCAUCCUAUUUUGGGUUAGCGUACCAGUUUUAUCUGAACAAAUCGUGGAAGUGGAACCUAAUGUUUCUACAGCUUCAAGAUUUUUAACCAGGCAAUUUUUAGAAGCCAUUCUUUUCGCGAUAUUAUAGAUUAUUAAUGCAAACCGUAACAGUCGCCAGAAGACCCUCCGGUACGUUAGCCACAAUGAUUCCAAUCAGAAAAAUAACGGCAUCGAGCCAAGUGUAAUGUAAAAUUAAGGCCAUUAUAAAGAAAGUGAUUCCCAAAAAUAUUGCCACUGCGGUAAUAAUAUGGAUGAAAUGGUUGAUUUCUUUGUGAAUCGGAGUUUCUCCCAUGUCGAUUCCUGAAGCCAAGUUAGCAAUUCGACCCAUAACGGUUCGAUCACCUGUGCCUAUAACUAUGCCGGUGGCUGUUCCUUUAGUGGAAUUGGUAUACGCUCAUCUUCCCUACUCCCGGUCAGCGCCUUCAUAUCUUUGCGUUUAUAAUGAGACCCAAUUAUCAACAAUGGUCGACCCUCCUUCAACUCUAUGAGACUUACCCCUCUUUGUAACUCCGUUGCAUUUCUUAAAGCAA